rnacentral:rRNA from 1 species
CCUACGGGAGGCUGCAGUGGGGAAUAUUGGACAAUGGGGGGAACCCUGAUCCAGCCAUGCCGCGUGUGUGAAGAAGGCCCUCGGGUUGUAAAGCACUUUCAGUGAGGAAGAACGCCUGGUGGUUAAUACCCAUCAGGAAAGACAUCACUCACAGAAGAAGCACCGGCUAACUCCGUGCCAGCAGCCGCGGUAAUACAGGAGGGUGCGAGCGUUAAUCGGAAUUACUGGGCGUAAAGCGCGCGUAGGUGGCUUGAUAAGCCGGUUGUGAAAGCCCCGGGCUCAACCUGGGAACGGCAUCCGGAACUGUCAAGCUAGAGUGCAGGAGAGGAAGGUAGAAUUCCCGGUGUAGCGGUGAAAUGCGUAGAGAUCGGGAGGAAUACCAGUGGCGAAGGCGGCCUUCUGGACUGACACUGACACUGAGGUGCGAAAGCGUGGGUAGCAAACAGGAUUAGAUACCCUUGUAGUC